UACGUAGGGUGCGAGCGUUGUCCGGAAUUACUGGGCGUAAAGAGCUCGUAGGUGGUUUGUCGCGUUGUCCGUGAAAACUCACAACUCAAUUGUGGGCGUGCGGGCGAUACGGGCAGACUGGAGUACUGCAGGGGAGACUGGAAUUCCUGGUGUAGCGGUGGAAUGCGCAGAUAUCGGGAAGAACACCCGUGGCGAAGGCGGCUCUCUGGAACGGUACUGACGCUGAGACGCGAAAGCGUGGGGAGCGAACAGG
rnacentral:rRNA from 1 species